UAGGGAAUCUUCCGCAAUGGGCGAAAGCCUGACGGAGCAACGCCGCGUGAGUGAUGAAGGUCUUCGGAUCGUAAAACUCUGUUAUCAGGGAAGAACAAAUGUGUAAGUAACUGUGCACAUCUUGACGGUACNNGAUCGGAAAGCCACGGCNAACUACGUGCCAGCAGCCGCGGUAAUACGUAGGUGGCAAGCGUUAUCCGGAAUUAUUGGGCGUAAAGCGCGCGUAGGCGGUUUUUUAAGUCUGAUGUGAAAGCCCACGGCUCAACCGUGGAGGGUCAUUGGAAACUGGAAAACUUGAGUGCAGAAGAGGAAAGUGGAAUUCCAUGUGUAGCGGUGAAAUGCGCAGAGAUAUGGAGGAACACCAGUGGCGAAGGCGACUUUCUGGUCUGUAACUGACGCUGAUGUGCGAAAGCGUGGGGAUCAAACAGGAUUAGAUACCCUGGUAGUCCACGCCGUAAACGAUGAGUGGUAAGUGUUAGGGGGUUUCCGCCCCUUAGUGCCGCAGCUAACGCAUUAAGCACUCCGCCUGGGGAGCACGACCGCAAGGUUG
rnacentral:rRNA from 1 species